AUUGAACGCUGUCGGCAGGCCUAACACAUGCAAGUCGAACGAGUGGCGGACGGGUGAGUAAUGUCUGUGAAACUGCCUGAUGGAGGGGGAUAACUCCUGGAAACGGUAGCUAAUUCCGCAUACCAUCAGAUGUGCCCAGAUGGGAUUAGCUUGUUGGUGGGGUAACGGCUCACCAAGGCGACGAUCCCUAGCUGGUCUGCGAGGAUGCCCAGCCACACUGGAACUGAGACACGGUCCAGACUCCUACGGGAGGGAGCAGUGGGGAAUAUUGCAAAAUGGGCGCAAGCCUGAUGCAGCCAUGCCGCGUGUAUGAAGAAGGCCUUCGGGUUGUAAAGUACUUUCAGCGGGGAGGCGUUACACGCAGAAGAAGCACCGGCUAACUCCGUGCCAGCCGCCGCGGUAAUUC
rnacentral:rRNA from 1 species